rnacentral:lncRNA from 1 species
CGGCCCGCCGCUCCCAGCUCAGCUCCGGCAGGGCCGGGUGCCGCCGAGCCGGGACCUCGGGGUCGGGGCAGGGGUGCGCGGGGGGAGCCGUGCGCCGAGGGGCGCCGGCGCUCCGAGCGGCCCGCCCGGGAUUAUGCAGGCUCUGCGCCGCGGGCCCGGGGAUGCCCAGAGCCGCAGAGACCUCAUCUGAGUGGGUGGAGCAACAGAGCUCUUGGCAGCACCAGCACGGGACAAGCACGAGACAUUCGGACUCUGAAGAGGACACGGG